rnacentral:lncRNA from 1 species
GAAAUUGCAUGGCACCAGAGUGUACACACUGAAUUUAAAGGACAAAAGUAGGAAUUAGGUUGCAGGGCUCCAGAUGGGUACCAGCAGCUAGUCCAUGUUUUGGCACAGAUUUGAACACUGAGAGGCCAACCAGAGUUCCCACCUGGCAUGCUCAACAAGCUGAAGACAGUUGAACAACCACAGCUGUCCUACUGUGGAUUGCACUUCACAUUCUUCCUGACCAGAUUCAGUUUGUAGCGCCUUUCCUGAGGCCUAAAAUAUCUUAAUGUCCCUGCAAACAUCUGGUGGAUACUUUGAGGUGGAUCCUGUUAACAACCUGCACCAGGGAAGCUAAUGAUGAGGUGGGAAAGGUGAGAACUUGCAAAUACAAUUAAUUCCCUCAAAUUAAUUUUGUCAAGAUAAAGAAGAAACAUAUAAAGUCGUUUUUGCUUUAUUCUGAUGUUCUG